AGCCGCUCGCCGCACACCCCGCCCAGCGCGCUGGGGAGCGAGCUCCGCGGAAGGUCCUUCCGCCCGGCCGACCUGGCAGCGUCGUGCCGCCCCGCCCACUCCGGCGCCGUCACGCCCACCGCGGCUGUGCCACGCCCAUGAUGCCCCGCCCUCCCUCGAGGGAGCGCGCUUUGAGGGAGACAGCUCCACCCAGUGCGUGUCGGGGGUGGGGCGAGGACGCCGCGUCCCGCCUGCUGCUGGGUCCUAGCGCGGGCACGCAGUCAACACCCUAACUGCGAGAACGUGUGUUGGAGAGAAGCGUAAUGCUUUUUUUGCCUUGCGGCGUCAGUGACCUCGAGCAGCCUUCGGAGCGACUGACCCACAGCUCUAAAGGACAGCCAGCGCCACUGUUGAAACAGAAAACUGAGGCUCUGCCUGGGAAACUGUGGAUGAGUUGGAAAGCAACCCCGCCAAAGCGUCCCAAGCACUUGGUGUUUUUCUGGGAUGAAUCAUCUGGACCAAACUCCCUAAGAAGAAGACUAAUUAGAUAAAAAGACAAAAUUUGCUUAACUUUUUGAAUUAACAGUAGUGGGGGAAGAGAGGAAGGGGAACCAAUCCAGCUUGACAGUAGGAUAUCAGUUCGGAAUUUUUAAAAGGUGGGGGGGGGGGGGGGUGAUGUCCGAAGAAAGAAGCUGCAGCCAGCAUGUGAGGAGCACAUGCGCAGUGUUAGCUAGUGGACGGACCCUUCCUCUUUUCUGCCCGCAGAAAAUUCAUAAGAUCAAUUGCUCCAUUAGAAAGCCUGUGGUUUGUUUUGAUUGGUGAAGUGAGGGUAGGAACGUCUUCUUCCUCCCACGCCAAGCCACAUCACCUCCACUCGUCUGUGGGACUUAGGGCCUGAAUUCAGACAAAGCUCUAAAAUCUGAGAGUUAAACCCUGGGCCAGUGAGAUGUUCAGUAAGAAAAGUGCUUACUACCAAGCCUGAUGGCUGAAUUUGAUUACAGAAGCCGCAUGGUGGGAAGAGAGAACUGACUCCCACAAAUUGUCUUCUAACCUUCAUAUGCAUGUGUUUGUGUGUUUGUGCAUACAACAUACGAAAUAAAUAAUUGUUUAAAAUUAAA